rnacentral:lncRNA from 1 species
GUAGUAGUGUCUGGGGGAGAGCUGCGAGUAGGUGGAGUCCCGCUUGGAGCGGGUCAGCGGCUUGAGGAAGGACACGCGCUGGCUCAGGCUGUCGGCGCCCUCCUCGUAGUACAGCGCCGGGAAGCUGUGCCGGUGCUCGCUGCAGUGGAAGGCGGGCUUCACCUCCAGGUGGUGGAUGCCGCCGCCGCCGCUGCCCGCCGGCACCAGCGGGAGCCGGUCCAGCGGGCUGUUGAGGGGGCUGCCCUUCUCGAUGUACUUGGAGUCGCCCUUGGCCAGCCCCGCGGCGGCAGGGUGGUCGGGCACGUCCAGGCUGAAGACCUUGGCGCUCUUGAUGGAGCCGCUGGACGACACGCUGCAGGUCUUGCGGGCCACGGCGGCGUCGGCGCUCAGCUGGCGCUGGAGCGGGUGGUGGGAGCUCUCCUUGUACGGGGGCGAGAGGAAGCUGGGCCGCUCCAGCGCCCCAGGGGGGGCGGCCGAGGCGGCGGCGGCGGCGGCGGCCGCGGGGAGGGACUGGCACUCGAAGGCCAGCUCGGGGUCCCCGCUGCCGCCGCCACCCCCCAGAAACGAGGCCGAGUCCAGCUUCAGGGCAUCGAUGCAGUUGUUAAUGAUCUGGUUGACCUUGUCCACCUCCUUGGCGAUGGUGGAGAUCUCGGCGGCCGAGCCCUGGCCGUUCUCCAGGUCCGGGAGGUCAUCCUCAGGCCGGGCCAGGCCAUCCCCACCCGCGCCUGUGCGCACCUCGAUGUAGUUGCCCUUGGUGGCCACCUUGGGGGUGUCCAGCCCAGCCUCCAGCCCCUUGGAGGUGGGCAGCUUCUCCCCAAUCAUGGAGGGGAUGGAGGACAUACAGGACACGGGCAGCACGGGAGGUUCGCCCAGCUUCUGGGCGGCGUGGACCACAGAGCCGGCAUCCACAUCCGCCCCGUAGCGCAUCUCCAGUAUGGUCUUCUUGACCUUGACCGACUUCUGCUUCUCCUCCUGCAUGCGCCGCUUGCGCAGGCAGUAGUAGACGGCGCCCAGCACGAUGACCAUGCCGAAGAGGCAGCCCAGGAUGGUCAUGAUGUAGUGGGUGGUGGUGGAGGUGCUGGGCGCCAGGUCGCCCGGGACGGGGUCCCGCGUGGUGAAGGUCAAGCAGGUGUGGUUGAAGCGGCGGCUGUUGCGCAGCGAGGUCACGCAGAAGGUGUACUCGGUGUGCGCCCGCAGCUUGUCGAGCGUGACGAUCUCCUUCUUGUUCUUGAGCGUCAUGACGUCGGAGAAGUAGCUGUUGUUGUACUGGACCAGGACAUACAUCUUGCUGUAGGGGUGCGGGAUGAUGACCACCAGGGUGGCCGAAGUGAAGGUGACGUGGUGCAGCUUGAUGGCGGGCCCCGCCGAUGCAUCUGUGGUGGACGAGGCCGGGGGCUCCACCGAAAGGAUCUCGUCGGGGUUGAAGCCCGAGUUCUCAUCGGGCUCCCUCUGGGCGUCGGUGGAGUAGGGCGUGGGGUGGCUCGCAGGCCGGGCGGGCAACGAGCCGUUGCGGCACUUGGCCUGGAGCACGGUGAUGGCGUUGAGGCUGUGAUAGGGCCGGGGCACCAGCAGCGGGUAGCCGGCGAACUCGCGUGGGGACUCGCACUGCAGCCGGUCGUAGUUCUUGGUGACAUUGUUGAAGACCACCAGCCAGGCGAGGAAGCCGAAGAGGUCACACUCACAGUUGAAGGGGUUGCCGGCCAGCUCGCACACCAUGAGACUGGCCAGGCUGGCGAAGGUGGCGCCGUCCAGGCGGCUGAGGCGGUUGGAGGACAGGUCGAUGCUGAUGAGGCUCGGGCACUCAGAGAAGGCGGCGGGCGUCACCACCUCGAUGAGGUUGUGCUGCAGGAAGAGGAACUGCAGGCGGCCCAUGCCGCGCAGCAUGCCCUCCGUCAGGUUGCUGAGCUUGUUGUACCCAAGCUGCAGCACCUGCAGGCUCGACUGGCCCAGGAAGGCGCCGUCCUCGAUGUCGUGCACGGUGCUGUUGAUGUGCUGCGGGAUGGUCUCAUAGGGCGGCUGGUUCUGGCUGCAGAUGGCCAGCCACACGUACCCCUUGUCGCCCUCGAUGAGCCAGCAGUCGGCGCGCACGGCGCCCGGCCGGCACACGCACAGCAGCGCGGCGGCGCACAGCCCCAGGCGCAGCAUGACACCGGCCGUGGCCCCCCUGGAAGGCCGGGCUUGGGGCUCAAACUUCAGACGAUUCCCACGAUUCCCACAGGAGGCUGGAGAAUGAAGCUCUGA